rnacentral:rRNA from 1 species
UACAGAGGGUGCUAGCGUUGUUCGGAUUUAUUGGGCGUAAAGAGCGUGUAGGCGGCCUGGUAGGUCUGCUGUGAAAACUCGAGGCUCAACCUCGAGAUGUCGGCGGAAACCAUCUGGCUAGAGUCCGGAAGAGGAGAGUGGAAUUCCUGGUGUAGCGGUGAAAUGCGCAGAUAUCAGGAAGAACACCUAUGGCGAAGGCAGCUCUCUGGGACGGUACUGACGCUGAGACGCGAAAGCGUGGGGAGCGAACAGG